rnacentral:rRNA from 1 species
GACGUAGGGCGCGAGCGUUGUCCGGAUUUAUUGGGCGUAAAGAGCGUGUAGGCGGCCAGAUAGGUCUGCUGUGAAAACUCGAGGCUCAACCUCGAGAUGUCGGCGGAAACCAUUUGGCUAGAGUCCGGAAGAGGAAAGUGGAAUUCCUGGUGUAGCGGUGAAAUGCGCAGAUAUCGAGAGGAACACCUGCGGCGAAGGCGGGUUGCUGGGCUGACACUGACGCUGAUGCGCGAAAGCCAGGGGAGCGAACGGG